rnacentral:rRNA from 1 species
UACGAACUGUGCGAACGUUAUUCGGAAUCACUGGGCUUAAAGGGUGCGUAGGUGGUUAUCUCAGUCACGUGUGAAAUCUUCCGGCUCAACCGGAAAACUGCGCGUGAUACUGGAUGACUUGAGUGAGGUAGGGGUGUGUGGAACUUCCGGUGGAGCGGUGAAAUGUGUAGAGAUCGGAAGGAACGCCAGCAGCGAAAGCGGCACACUGGGCCUUUUCUGACACUGAGGCACGAAAGCUAGGGGAGUGAACGGG